UACGGAGGGAGCUAGCGUUGUUCGGAAUUACUGGGCGUAAAGCGCACGUAGGCGGCUUUGUAAGUUAGAGGUGAAAGCCCGGGGCUCAACCCCGGAAUUGCCUUUAAGACUGCAUCGCUCGAAUUGUGGAGAGGUGAGUGGAAUUCCGAGUGUAGAGGUGAAAUUCGUAGAUAUUCGGAAGAACACCAGUGGCGAAGGCGACUCACUGGACACAUAUUGACGCUGAGGUGCGAAAGCGUGGGGAGCAAACAGG
rnacentral:rRNA from 1 species